ensembl:lncRNA
GUGGAUUUGAUGAUUCUAGAGUUAAUUGUUGAGCACUGAUGUAGUAAUCAGCUUCUGUGGAAUGUGUACCAAACAGCAAAAUGAAAGUGCAAAGCCCUUAAAUCAAGGAGCUUGCACAGUGAUGGGGUAUGAAGUGCUUUUCACUAAAAGGAAGACACUGGGAGACCCAAGGGAAAGGAUCAGCUUAGUUAGCGAGUCCUGGGACUUCAGUGCCCGUCUGUCUACAAGUAAUGAAUGAACAGAUUUUUUUCUUCAAAGCAGAAACCAGGAUGGUGAAAGUAUCCACGAGGUCUGGAAGAUCAUGUGGAAGUAUUUGUGACAUUUACAUUAAUGCCAGAUGAAUAAUGAGGAUUAAUGUUCGUGGGAGCAAUACAAGUGGCUAUCACAAUGAUUAGGCUAUUAUUAUAAUGGGUUUUCAGGGGAGGAUGAUGACAAGUGAUUUACACACUAUGCAGUGAUUUCUUCAGUGUAUCCAGAUGAUAAGCAACUCUGGCACCUUUCUGCAAGAAUUUGGGAUGUUUUCUUAUUCUUGAAGUUGCCAGUUAGUUAGUCUAAGAUAGAGGACAGGAAGGGGGAGGGCACUGGGUAAAGGAAGGGGAUGCUGUUUUUUCAUUCCAUAACUGGUGGGAGAAAGCUGUUAUGAACCUGGCAGCCUCACUGAGAAAAGUGACGAGAGCUCUGUCUGGAGAUGUGAUACAGGGACAGCUUUACAAGCACCAGAAUUCUCUCAGGCAGUAAGGUGUGACUGCUGCUUCAUCACCAAGCUUUGCCUUUCUGCUGUUCAGGCACCAGCAGCUGUUUUCUAUUCUGGUUCAUGGAACAAAAACUUCCAAUGGAGAAAAGUAUUCCUAAGCAAGAAAAAACCCAGACAUUCACCACUGAGCCUCAGAACGGCUGCUGGAAUAAGAAAAUGCAGAACAGUGAUUUGAACAACAGAACCUCUGAGCUCAGCGACUGGAAUUCCCAAUUACAGACAUACUGCUGUUUCUCCUCCCUCAACACAGAUGUUUAGCUUGAUCACUCCCCCAAGCCCAGUGAGACAAGCUCUGUGAAGGAUGCGGAGCUAUGCAUGCUCCGACAGCUACAUCAAAGGCCGGGCCCAGCCUGCACCUCAGCCACCAGUCUGGAGGAAAUCAGAGACCCUCAUUAAAGUUUCAGAAAAACCUAACUGGUAUGAGGACGGCACUCAAAAAUGUAUUCAGGGGAAAACAAAUAUUGUUUUAAUGCUAUUAAUAAUUGAUGAGUUGCCAGCAGAGAUCCUCAUAGCAUUAAGGGAAUUGAAAAUUAAAGGCACAAAGACACUACUUUAAGAAAACAUCUUGGUAAAUAAUUAAUACGGAGUGGGCCUAUUGGAAUCUGAAGAGUGUAGCUUUUAGUUUAUCUUGUCAAACCUAUGCUUUCUAAUACCAGAGUUUCUUCCAGAAUGAGAGCG